GAAGUGCGAUAAGCAAUGCGAAUUGCAGAAUUCCGCGAAUCAUCAGAUCUUUGAACGCAAAUGGCGCCAGAGGGAUAUCCUUCCGGCAUGUCUGUUUCAGUGUCUGAGAGGUUUCACCCUAUCUUAAUGUGAUUGAUGGGUUUUUGUAGAGGCUCACACCUCCACCUAAAAACAUCUCUCAUGAAAGAUGCUCGAGUGGAUCUUUUGGUCCAAUGAAGUGGUCACAUCACUCGCAUGUGAUUUCAUUGGGAUCACCAAAUUAUCCGCAUGCUCGAGGUACACUCUCUCUUGUAGCAAUACAAGACACUCCAUACCCUGCAUCUGAGACAGGCAAGAUCACCCGCUGAACUUAA
rnacentral:misc_RNA from 1 species